AACUGACAAGACGAUGUACGUCGUCAUUAACGCACUCUCGAUGUUUUUCAUGGUCAACGUCAUUUUAAUUGCGUAGAUUGUAGGUAUAUGUUGAUCGACGUGACAUAAAAUUAGAAAAUUGUUUUCUUACCUGCGGCGCUAAAUAUCUAAAUAUGUCUCUGAUUGAAAUAGUGUUAUACUUUCAUAAUCGUGGAAUUAGAAGGAGAAGCAGAUUAG